UCAACACCACCACCACCGACACCGACACCACCCACCACUGUCUUACCACCGCUAUUGAAAACCCUCCAUCACCGUCUGACCUCCACCAUCAACACCACACCACCCACCACCAUCUCACCUCCACCAUCCACCCUUACCGCUGCAAAUAUAAUUUCCGGCCACUAAAAUAAUUCUCAAACUUUAACAAAUCAAGAAAUAACCUUUCAUUAGCCCACUCAAAUAUAAUUCUCAAACACAAAAGUCUGCUCUUUCAUUUCCAUUUUAAAGGCAAGACUCUAUAAAAUUCUCUCAACACAAACAACCACACGCACACUCUGUUUUCUUCUACAAUUAAGCAACAACAGCUCUAAACCAUCAAAUCAUUUAAAUCGUUUCAAACAAAAUCACCUUCAGAAACAAUGGAGUGGCUGCUGUAGGCGGUUUCAGCAAGAUCGAUUAAGCUUUUAUCAGCGGUGGAGGCGUACCCGGUAACUCUCGGAACUCUAUCUCUUGCCGUUGGAUCUGGACAGUUUGGUCCGGAUCUGUGUAUUUUUCGCCGGAUCUGCAAAGCUAUUUUGGUGGGGAUGAUGGUGGAUUGAGGGGACGAUGGUCGUGCGAUGGUGAGGAUGAUGGUGGUGUGGUGGUGCUGAUGAUGGUGCGGUAGGGAUGAUGGUGGUGCGGUGGUGGGGGUGGUGGUGGUGCGGUGAUGGUUAUGGUGAUGGGUUUGUAUAAUCAGAAAUGGAUUAUCUACAUAUAUAGAAUUUAUUUUUAUAUAGAUAUAUUAUAUUAAAAGUUUAUGCAUUAGACACUUGUUUCUUGUAUUCUUAUGCAUAUAAGACUUGUACUAUCUGU
rnacentral:lncRNA from 1 species